CUGGAGACACCCGCCAGGGGGAGGCAGAGCCGCGGGUAACCCAGGCAAUGGCCGCCCGCCGCCCACCCGGGGUGGCCCCUUGACCUGCCGGGUUUCUGGGUCCAUGACAUGGAGACAAAGCAACGGAGACCCCGUGUUUCACAGACCCAUGAGAGACGCCAUGUGCUGGGCCAUGGGCACUGCUGGGGACCCUCCAGGGCUGCGGCAGCACAGAGGGUCACCUGUGAGCGACUGAGAGCCAAGGAGGAAGCAGGAGAGGCACGGGGACAGGGUUGGCGAUGGGGACUCUGGCUGUGGUCCUGGGCUGAGGCCGGCUCAGGAGGUCUGGGAGCAGGAGCAGUUCCCAGGCAACAGGUGAGGCAAGACGGGUCCCACCUGCCCCUGCUGCUGUUGGGACUCAGAGGCACAGAGAGGAGAGGGACAGACGACGGCCGGGGGCCACCCCUCCUCCAGCCAGAGUCCGAGGGCAGCCUCCCCUUCCUGGGCCGGCCCAGCUGCUGCGGGCCGGCGGACACUGCUGUCCCCGUCCCCCUGGUUAAUCCCAGACCAGGGCUUCACGGUCACCUCAUCACGCCAUCGGGUCCCCCUUCUGGGUUGGCAAACGGCGUGGCUGUGCCUGAGGGCCGGGGACCUCGACAGGGCCUGGCCUGGGCUCUGUGUCCCCACCUGAGGGGCCAGCUGCCUGGCUCAGAGGCCCCGGCUCCAAAAGGGGCCAUGCUGGGCCCGAGGCUGGCCCUGGAGGCAGGUCCUCCUCCCGCGGGCAGAGCGUGGGCGGCUGUGGGCAGAGGGGCUCCCCGCACGGCCCCUUCCACAGCGGCAUUGGGGGAGGAUGGUCCCCAGGAGCCCCCAGAGCCGGGUGUGGCCUGCAUGGUGGGCAGGUCCCAGGGGACUUGAAGUCCAAGCAGCCCUUCCCCUGGGAGCCGAGAACAGGUGGCCCCUCUUGUGCCUAAAGUACCAUAAUAAAGUGCCGAUGUCCACCGGAGGCCGCUGCCACCAAGCUGUCCCCAGGUCCUUCUGAUCUCUGACACUGAGCUGGCCCCAGGUCCUUCCCAUUCCUGCCCCGGGGGGCGCCGCGGCUCUGCCCGCUGCAGCAGGACUGGAACCCGGCUCUCCAAGCAGGCACACGCCCUGCCGGGACACGGGUCUCUGGCUUUGUCCCCUCUGACCUCCGCUGAGGAGGCCCUGACUGCCCGGCGCCGCCUCCCCAAUUCACGCUCCCAGGACCACGGCGGUGGCUCCUCCUGGGCUCCCCGCUCCUGCCCUCUCCCCAGUGUCCCUCCUCCACACAGGGGCAGGUGACGCCCUCCCCUGGGGAAAAUCCCCCAAAGGCUCCCCCUAUCUUGGAUGUCCCCCGGGGCCUAGCACAGUCUCCAAGGCCCCGGUCAUCUCCACACCUCAGCUGGCGCCCUGUGUGGCUCCAGAGCCCACUCGGCCCGCUUCCACCCCAGGACCUUUGUGCCUGCUGCACCACCAGGUUAUGUGGCCUCCUCAUUCUCUUUCUUUCUCCUCUCUGUCCUGGGGGUGACCCCAGGGAUGGUCUCCACGGAGCUGCACCCAGCACUUUUUCAUUUUUAUUUCUUAUUUUGAGAUGGAGUCUCACUAAGUUGCUGAGGCUGGCCUCAAACUUGCAAUCCUCCUGCCACAGCCUCCUGAGGGACUGGAUGACAGGCUCUGCCACUGGCCUGGCCCCCUCACUUUAAAAUGCUUCGUCUCGUGUCACGAGAACCCCACCUUGACCUUUAAAUGAAGAAGAGAGAAAAUCUGUGCACAGCCUCUGGGUAGAGCCUGGAGAGAGGACGGGAGGCUGGACAGAAACUGCAGGUCACUUGGUUGGGCUGGAGCUGCAGGUCAGCAGGGUCAGGUGCUGGAUGGUGGACAAUGAGCUGGCGGGGCCUCGUGCCCGGUGGGGGAGUUCGCAUGUUUCCCUGAGUGAGUUGGGAGCCAUGGAAGGUGGUAGGCAGAGGGGGACACCACCUUGUGCUCCGGGAUCCCUCGGCUGCCUGGGCAGAGACUCAGGUGAGGCUGGAAGUGGGAAGGUCAGAGGCCCGUCCAGGCAGGAGAGCGUGAGGCCUGGCCCUGGAGGUGGCCACACAGGACCCUGGGGGAGGCCCAGAGGUGAGGACACUGGCUGCAUGUGAGAGACCGUUGGGGCCCAAAGCUGGUGGCUGGUGGAUGUGGCCAGGAGGUGGGGUUGAGAGGAACACGGAGGCCACUCCUUCCAGCCCGAGAAGCCACCAGGACCUGUCCCGCCCCCCUACCCAGCUCCCUCGGUGUGGCCUGACUGACCCCAACACCCUGGGUGGCCUCCGGCCAAUCCCUGGGCCUCUCUGUGCUCGGGAGCUUCAGUGCACCCGACCUUCAGCGGGAGUGAGAGGCCGGAGCCACCAGCCCAGGGAGACGACCUUGAAGAGCCCGUCCUCCCCCCCACCCCUCCCCCCGGGGCUCACAGCAGGCCAAGGGGACACCUGGGCAAGGCCUGGGCAAAAGGCAGCCCAGCCCCCAGCCUGCCCCGUCGCCAGCCUCUGCCCACCCAGGGACCCAUGGCGCCCAAACCUCCAGCUUCAGUUCCGAGCCCCACACCAGGCGAGGCUGCCCAGGCCCUGGGGACGAACCCUCCCUCAGCGUCCCCGGAGCAGCCUGGGGACCCGCAGCACAGGCCUGGAGCCAGGGCCUGGGCGGAAGUCUCAGCUCUGCCCUUCUGAGCUGUGCAGCAUUGGGCAAGUGACCCAACCUCUCUGAUGUUCAUAGAAAGAGGCCUGGACCCCGGCACCUGUGGUAGGUUCCGGGUGGGGGAGCUCUGCCCUCUGAAGGAUGUGAGGUCUUCUUGCCCCCGAAACCUCCCGGGCCUGUGUUCGCCAUCCCACGACGACGAGGUGAAUCAAGCUCGGGUAACGAUGGCCAAGCCCCUCAUGCAGAGAACUGUGAGGACCCUGCAUGUCGCCGCCCUGACCAGGCCGCAUGAGGGCCCCUGCAGCCUCCUCCUUGGGGCACCGCCUUGCGCAUGCACGAGACCCAACACACGCUUGGUUUGUGCACAGAAGAGUCGUCUUACAAGAGGUCCCCGCGCGCUCUGUAGUGCCUUUUUAAAUUAUUACUUUCAAUAUGGUUGGUGCAAUUUUAAUCAGUACGAUUU